UGGGCCAGCCCUCCCUUGGCAGGGAACUGACGCCGCCUUUGCCUCUCUUUCUUCACCUCCCCAUCCCCACUUCAACGCGCGCUGUAGGCGCCCCCUUCGUUGUGCGGAAGGGACAGGAAAAGAGGCACAACCUCUCUCCGCUAGAGGGUGGAGGAAGGAGGAGGAGGAGGGUCGAGUGCGAAGAGAGCCCCAGGAUGGGAACGGGAGUCACCUCGGCGGCGGUUGCCAGGGGGAAAAAACUGUCUCUCCAAGGAGAAGGGAAUUCAUAUGUCACAAAAGGUAUCUUCCACAUCAAUGGAAGAAUUGGAUCAACCAAGCAUUCUACGUACCUUUUCCUUCUCCAUGCUAUCUGAUCCUCAGAGCAGCACAUCUGGACAAAGUACUCAAGAGAAAACUGUUUCAUUUUUCUUCAAGUGGAAUAAAGUUCUACAAUUCUAUGUCUUAUAUUCAUACACACUGACAGAAGGAGACAAUCUUUCAUCAUUAUGGGACUCUUGGUGUGGGAUACAAGUUUUCAAUAUUUUAAUGAAUAAAUAAAAUGUAACCAGUGUACCCUAAAUCCUCAUUACACUGGUCAUGUUAACUUUUUCAUAGAUACAUAUCCUAGAAUCUUGUUUUUACUAUGUUGUAAUAUUUUCUUAGCAGAAUCACCCAGGAACAUGUAUGUGAUUUGCAGAGUGAUGAUGUGAAUCACUGUCUUAGUUCAGUUCAUAGUGUAGUCUGUUAAAAUUCACAUUAUGGCAGCAACGUAUAGGCGUGUAGUAACAACAGUGAAUUGUUACAGCAGCGUUGUGAUAGAUCGUAGACUUCAGCAUGCUGUGCAUUAUUGCACUGGAGCAUGUCAGGUAUUCAAGCAAGGAGUUACAUGCAUAGUGGCCCACCACAGUGUCUGUGCAGAACUAAUUAAAUUCCCUACACGGAAUCUUAGAAGUUCAGACCUGACCCAUAAUUUCUCAGUCCCUGAAAAUUCUCUUGCUUUGUCUGGGGAUGAAGAUUAUCAUCAAAUCCUUCCUAGUAAUCCAAGACUCAAAAAGGGAUCUUCCAUUCAAAGCACUGGAAGUCUGAAAGAUAUCACUGGAGAAGCCAUAAAUCUUGCUAGUGGAAAAAUAAAGGAAUUUUCAUUUGAAAAACUCAGAAACUCUUCGAGUCAGUUCAACUAUAGAAAGGGAAGAAAAGUUAAGUCAGACUCAUUCAGCAGAAGGUCACUAGACUUUGACUUGAUCUAUGGACAUUUUAGCAAUGAUGAAAAUUCACCCCCUUCUUUUGGCCUGUCACAUCAGUCAUCACCUGAAGAGAAAUGGCAGAUCAGCAGUACCUCAGUAGAGGGAAAUGUAAAUUCUACCAUUCCCUCACCUAUGCAGACUUUCUUUGAAGAUAGUUUUAUCACACAGAUUUUGGAAAAGCACAAGCUGGAUGGUUCUUCCAGUGGAGAUAUUAAGAUGUGCUUGGACAUCUUGUUAAAGUGCUCAGAGGACUUGAAGAAGUGUACUGAUAUAAUAAAGCAGUGCAUCAAGAAAAAAUCUUCAGGUAGUGUCAGUGAAGGAACUGGUAAUGAUCCAUUGGCCAACUCUGAAAUGAUCUAUAUGAAUUUAAUGACAAGAUUUUCUUCUUACCUUAAAAAGCUGCCAUUUGAAUUUAGGCAGCCUGGGAUCACUGAACCUGGUGACAUGGUAGAAAUGAUUAACAGUUUGUCUACUUUACAACAGUCUCAUUUCUCCCCAAUAUUUCGCAAUGAACAGCCACCUAGAUACGAGGAUGUUGUAUCCUCCUCAUCCUCUUUGACAAGGCAGCCUUUUACUAUGGACUUACAGGGUAGCCAAAAUAGCACUGAUACGAAUACCUCAGCAAAUUCAACCCAAAUCCCAACUGUAGAUAUUUCUUCAAAUGCUUUGCAUGUCAACAACCAGCAGGACAAUUUAGGAUUUAGAAAUGAAGCCUGUGGACUACCUCAGUUACCAUCUUUAAACCCAUCAGACUGUAUUUCUCCCACAGAAACUCUGUACAUUGUAGAAGAAUCAGAUAAAGUAUUAGGCUCUGCAUUGAGUACCAAAAGCAGAGGAAUAUGGGAGAAUUCAGAAAGCAGCCAGCAGAGAGCAAAAAAGGCAGAUCCUGCUGUAGAUCCUCCUAAAGCAUCACCUAUUGUAGUACAGCCUGUAACACUGGCCCAGACCUUCACUCCAGCAACCUCCAUCAGUAAAAGCUUUGAUGGUACUAUGCCUGUUUCUAAGGGAGAAGCCAGAAAUAACAAUCAAGAAGAGAUAGACAAACUUCUAUUGGAUUUGGAGCAUUUUUCACAAAAAAUGGAGACUACUCUCAGAGAGACUUCUCCUAAGCAGAGUGAUUCUGCAUGUUUGAAGGAUAUUAGUCUAUCUCGAACUCCUGACAAUAAAUCAUGUUCAUCUGCAGACAAAAGUGCUUCCUCUUCUUUAUCAAAACUCAUAGAAUCCAACGGUCAUAAAAUAGAGGAAGAAGACAAAACCCUUUUAUUGCGUAUCCUGGAGAGUAUUGAAGAUUUUGCUCAGGAACUAGUAGAAUUCCGAAUGGGCAAAGGAAGCUUAUCAAAGGAGAAGGAAGUGAUGCACAUUCUUCAGGAAACUUUGGCUACUCCCUCCAUCGUAGUUACCAAAGAUCCAGUCCGAGGGCAAAUUCAACAGAUGCCAGAGGUUAUUGAGGUCCAAAAUAAACAAGAAAAGAAAUCUGUGACUCCAUCCCCUGCUCCUACGAAUUCAACAGUCAGCUCACAAUCUCUUCUGCCUCCAAAUAAAGUAACUGUUGCUGCCCCUUUAUCCAUAAGCAUUCCACGCUUCUAUUUCCCCAAUGGACUUCCUAAUGUAUGCAACAGUCAUGAAGAGACCAUUGCCAAGGUUGAGGCAGCCUUUUCAGAGUUUGAAGAUGAGAGAGUUCCUCUUAAUGAAAUGGGGAAAAUUGCAAAGGUAUGCUGCUGCCCCCUGUACUGGAAAGCUCCCAUGUUCUAUGCAUCAGGAGGAGAACGAACAGGAUUUGUGUCCAUACAUUCAUUUGUGGCCAUGUGGAGAAAGAUACUACACAACUGCCAUGAUGAUGCAUCAAAAUUCAUUUGUCUUUUAACAAAACCCAACUGUAACUAUCUGGAACAAGAAGAUUUCAUCCCAUUACUGCAGGAUGUAGUAGAAACUCACCCUGGAUUGACAUUUCUAAAGGAUGCUCCAGAAUUUCAUUCCCGCUAUAUUACUACGGUUAUUCAAAGAAUAUUUUACACAGUCAAUAGAUCAUGGAAUGGGAAAAUAUCGCUGACAGAGUUGAGGAAAAGUAACUUUCUGCAAACCUUAGCUCUCUUGGAAGAAGAGGAAGACAUAAAUCAAAUUACUGAUUAUUUUUCCUAUGAGCAUUUCUAUGUCAUUUACUGUAAAUUCUGGGAAUUGGACACUGACCAUGACCUCUACAUCAACCAGAAAGAUCUAGCUAGAUACAAUGAUCAAGCUCUGUCAAACAAGAUUAUAGAAAGAGUAUUCAGUGGAGCUGUACUUAGAGGAGUUCAAGCACACACAGAGAACCAGAUGAGCUAUGCAGAUUUUGUGUGGCUUCUGAUCUCUGAAGAAGAUAAAAAAAGCCCAACAAGCAUUGAGUACUGGUUCCGAUGCAUGGAUUUGGAUGGGGAUGGCACACUCUCCAUGUAUGAACUGGAGUAUUUUUAUGAAGAACAGUGUGAGAGGAUGGAAUCCAUGGGCAUUGAACCAUUGCCAUUCCAUGAUUUACUGUGCCAAAUGCUUGAUCUGGUAAAGCCAGAAAGUGAGGGAAGGGUAACUCUGCGAGAUUUGAAGCGAUGCAGAAUGGCACCUGUAUUUUAUAAUACAUUUUUUAACUUGGAAAAGUACCUGGACAAUGAACAACGAGAUCCAUUUGCUGUGCAAAAGGAUGUUGAAAAUGAUGGUCCUGAGCCUUCUGACUGGGAUAGAUAUGCUGCUGAGGAAUAUGAAAUUCUUGUUGCUGAAGAGUCUGGCAAUGAACAGUUACAAGAAGGAUCCUUUGAUGAUGACUAUGAAACCGAUGAACUCUUAUCUCUACCUGAAAUUGGAGAAAAGCCAGACAAAUUAGUUAUUUCAGAUCUUUCAGCUUAGAAAUAUUCGAGAAUUGUCUCUAAGGUAUGAGAAAGACUCUUAUCUGAAAACCUGGAGAACAGCAGCCAAUCAAUUUAGACAAUACUGAGCUGGAUGGACCAAUGACCUGCCUUGGUAUAAGGCAAGUGCCUAUUCAGCAGGGAUGGGUAACUUCUGGAGGUCUGGGAGUGAUUUUUAUCCCCUGAACCCUUAGUGUGGGACACCACAGAACAUCCAAUAGCCUAAAUCACUGGUUUGGUGCCAAUAUUUGAGGCAAAUUGCUUUGUAGAAAAAAACGUAAUGGUUAAAUUUAACAUGUUUCUGAGUUAGAUUUAAUCCUUUAGGCGCUCCAGAACCAUUUUUUCCUGAAGAAGAAGUUUUUAACUUUGGGGAAGGCAAUGGAGAUGGUAGGGGGUUGCAGGAGGAGGGUGGGACAGAAUACAGGCUUUCAGUUGCCUACCCUUUCUCUGCAGAGUACUUUUUCACUUUACUAAGUAAUUUCAAUGAAGUCCUGUGUACUUAGAUUUAUAGAGCAAAGUUUUCUGGUCAGAGGCUGUAAUAUUCAGACAGGCUUGCUGCACAGCACCUCCUGUAUUUAUUUUAUUUAUUAAAUAAUAAUAUUUAAUAAAUAAAAUAAUAGUAUUUAUUUUAGAAAUUAAACACUACCCUAUUGUGGUGAUCUGUGUAAUAAUAAUCAAAUUAACAUUAUUAAUACUGGUCUAUGCACUUUAUACAUUUUUCUUCCUCCAAGUUUUACUAGUUUGGGGCAGACUUGAAAGUAGAAACUAUUGUAAAAUUCCUGCAGUUAAAAAAAAUAAUAAAGUUAAUUCCAGGUGGUGUAGCAUAAACAGAAAAGGUCUAGAAUAUAAUGGACACUUGUGAUUGAGGCAAUAGCAAACAUACUUGGGAAAAGGUAGUCAUUAUUAUAAUGGCCAUGUAAUUAAUUCUUACUACAUUGCAUUCAUAUCUUGCUUUUUGCCCCUUAUGGGUAACGGACAGUACCUUACAUAGGCCUUCUCUAGGUUAAGAAGUAGAAGCUUAGAACAGAGAAUACUAUAAAAUUAUAUGUUACAUUUAGUGAAUCUACUAUGUGUAAAUAGCAAUGAGGAAUUUCUUGAUCUAGAUUGCAUUUGGUAGAAAAGAUGAACAAUAACGGGAAUUAUUUAUUUUAAAGGGAUAUUUUGACAAAGGCUCUAGGCAAAUGACUCCACAGAAUUAAUGACAUUUUUGUUCCCAUGUUACCUAUACCAUUUUACCAAAAAAAAUAUUCUGUUGGAUUAUCUUCAAUUACAUGGAUUUUCUUCUAGGAAACAUAUACAGUUGUAGUUUUAGGGGCUAUGGAGGCUUGUCCUUGAGUUGCUAGAAAAAUUGUUUAUUUCUCUGCCCAUUUUCCCAGCAUAUUGGAUUUUAAUUUAGAGCACUUGUUCCAAUGUAACAGCUCAUUACUAAGGAUCUGACAGAUUUUAUCAAGACUUUGAUAAAAUCCACAGAAACAAUUCAGUGGUACAUCAGUAGCAUUUAUAUAAACAAAUAUUAGACAAUGGAAUACAUUACAUUUUAAUGGAACUGACAUGCAUAUUUCAGAAUUAUAUUUUAAUAACAAAUUAUUUUGAUUUAAACAACUUGCAGUAUAAUUCAGUGAAGGUGUCUGUAACUCUCCACUCUUAGAAAUACUGGGCGUCCUAUGUCAGCUUAAAGGAACAUAGAGGCAAAUGUUGCCUCCACACUUCUUUUGCCCUGUAAAACACUUAGGAUGAUUUUAGUCAUCUCAGUGUUCUGCCUUGGAGCAUGAGCAGAUGAACAGAUGAAACUGAGGUGCAGCCAGGAAACUGCAUAUAGUUGACAUUUAUUCAUUCCACCACUCCACCCACCAUAUCCCAACUCUGAAGUUGCUUUUACAACUUUAGAGUUGCAGUUCUUUCCAGACCAGCUGCAAGGGUGGAAGGAGGGUGCUUGAACUUCCCAGUCCCAGCUUCAACCUUGAAAUGUGUUUCCAGGAUAGAGCUGGGACUCUGAUUAAUUCUAUGACCAUCUAGUUACUCACACGUUCUUCCUGUGCCCAAUUUAUAUAGCGCUGCUGUCCAGUGAACUGGAUCUUGGGCAGUAUGUCAUGUAAGGCUCUAACUGGGGUCAGCUGGUCCUUGGAAAACUUUACUAGGCUUCUUUGUUACUAUUCCAGUCAGGAAUGAUUUCAUUUUUCAAUCAUUUCCUCACCAUGUAGUUAUGUUUGAAAAACUGUCCUGUGGAGAAUCCAAGCAGAGCAUCCUGAACAAAACCCAACAGCGCCCCCAACACACACACACACCACUUCAUUUUGCCUAAUGCGUUUUCAUACUACUACUUAUUCAAGGUAACACUCAGCAUACUCCUUUAGCUCAUGUUAUACACAAAUGUAUGUUAAAUGUCAGUCUGGAUAGAAAACUAAGCGGCUAUAUUUUACUUGCUGUCAAGUAAAUAGGAUUAGUCACAAUUAGUAUCAUUACACUUGAAGCCAAUGGUGUAGAUGUGCAGGUAAGUUUAAAUAAUUUUGGUAACCCAUUACUAUCACUUGUAGUAGCACUGUAUUUAGGACUAUGUGAUACUUUGUAUUCAGAAACACUCAAAAAUAUGUUGAGUUUUCUGUAUUCUGGGAUCUUUUAGCCUCCUUGGAGCACAAGAAGGAGCGAGGUGCCCAAUGUUGUAUUCCUAAUUCUGCAGUGCAGCUGCCAUGCACCACUAGUACAGCUUGUGAUUAUUGUGUGUGCACCAAAUACUUUCUUAAAUUUUGAAUGAUAUUAGUCUGUAGAGAUGCAUUUUAGUAAAAUUCUGACAGUAUAACGAUUAUCUGCUUUUAAUUAUGUAUAUCACUUUUCUUAUCUGAAGAGUGGAAAUAAUAGCAUCUACCUCAUAGGAAAGGGGUUAAGAUAAUUCAGUUUGCUAUAUUAUAGAAAUUCCUUUCAAUAUAUAGGGCUCAAGCAAUACUUGACUGGUAAUGCCUUUCCUUUUAUGCAUGUAGGGACAACAUCUCCUUAUGCUUCUUCUGAUUGAAGUGGGAACUUGCUACCUUCUUAAGGAAUCAAGAUUAAAUUCAACAAAAUGCAAGUGAACAUCUGCCCAUGCAGGGAGAAUUUGUCUUUUCUUCCCUCCAUGGAUACCCCAACUCUGCUCUGGAGCAUUCUCCAUCCCUCUGGGACAGAUUUUGGGUUUGUGGAUGGGAUUGUAUUGGUGGGACGGGAUUCAAUCAACUAGCAGUACUGGUUGUGUUGUGGAAGGAUGCUGUUAAAUACAAUUAAAAUGCAUAAUUUGAUAUUGACCAAGCAACAGCA